UUCAAUAACCCAAUAGCAGUAAACACGACAUAUAACUUUAAUAUCUGUAAAUCCGGCUUCUGUUGCCAAGGCCUUGAACUCCGCCAAUGUCCUCUCCUUUGCUCCGGGAAAUAGAUUGGAGAGGUGUAAGUCAAGACUUGCUAUAUUCUUGCUUACAAUAUCAGUCUCGGGGAAUUCUGGCACUAUUGAUUCCACCAAAAUGACCUUUCCGGAUUCCGGUAUUGCUUCGUAGCAGUUCCUCAGUAUCUUCGAACAGUCUUCAUCGCUCCAGUCAUGAAGUAUCCACUGAGAGAUUAAUUUAUAUGAAAAUUUCGUGAAAUUUCAAAAUUUUCGGAAUUGACAUACGUAAUCAAUAUUUUAUUUUCUAUUUCAAUAAUUAAAUAUUAAGUAGAGAAUUAACCUUCAUGAAAAUAGCUUGUCCUUUAGGAACUUCAACAAACAUAUCCUUAUCCUAUCAACCAAUCCACCAGAUUGAAAAAAAAAAUAUGAAUUGGAAUUUCCAGAACUGGGUGCACUGGUUUGGACUAUGAGCACCUAUAGCUGGAUAUUUUGUAAAGCACAAUUAUGAGAAAUGAAGCAAAUUAUUUUUAAUAAAUCUCAAUAAGAGGCGGGUUUAUUAUUACUAUAAGAAAUGAAAUUAUAAAAGUCAUGGAGGAACAAAAUGAACAAUGCCUAGAAAUUAUUGGAACGUGGGAAGAGAUAGAACUGUUGAUCAGACAGAAUAAGGACAGGAUUCUGUCAUUUAAUUUAAAAAAAAGGAAAAGAAAAUGCAUGCGAACCAUAAAAUGACCAGCACUCGUAAAUCGUAAUGCUUAGAUCGUUUUGUAGAAUUCAAUAACCCAAUAGAAGUAAACACGACAUAUAACUUUCAUAUCUGCAAAUCCAACUCCUGUUGCCAAGGCCUUGAACUCCGCCAAUGUCCUCUCCUUUGCUCCGGGAAAUAGAUUGGAGAGGUGUACGUCAAGACUUGCUAUAUUCUUGCUUACAAUAUCAGUCUCGGGGAAUUCUGGCACUAUUGAUUCCACCAAAAUGACCUUUCCGGAUUCCGGUAUUGCUUCGUAGCAGUUCUUCAGUAUC
rnacentral:lncRNA from 1 species